GAUGAAGAACGCAGCGAAAUGCGAUACGUAAUGUGAAUUGCAGUAUUCAGUAAAUCAUCGAAUCUUUGAACGCAUAUUGCGCUCUCUGGUAUUCCGGAGAGCAUGCUUGUUUGAGUAUCAGUAAACACCUCAACUCCCUUUUCUUUUUUGAAAUGGGAGCUGGACUUGAGUGAUCCCAACACUUUUCUCACUGGAAAGUGGCGGGUCACUUGAAAUGCAGGUGCAGCUGGACUUUUCUCUGAGCUAUAAGCAUAUCUAUUUAGUCUGCCUAAAAAACAGAUUAUUACCUUUGCUGCAGCUAACAUAAAGGAGAUGAGUUCUUGUGCUGACUGAUGCAGGAUUCACAGAGACAGCUUUGCGGCUGACUUUGUAAACUCGAUCUCAAAUCAAGUAAGACUACCCGCUGAACUUAAGCAUAUCAAUAAGCGGAGGA
rnacentral:misc_RNA from 1 species